AAUCAAGAGUCCCGACCACUGGCCCUGGCCGGUCGGGCGGCAACCCUCCACACCAUAGUGGGGUGCCCCAGGUGAGGAUUCGACGCCGUCGGCACCUGCCGGGGCGUAAGUAUGGCGG
rnacentral:ncRNA from 2 species